rfam:Triticum aestivum genome assembly, contig: Triticum_aestivum_CS42_TGACv1_scaffold_112102_2AS
UUAGUACUCCCUCCGUCCAAAAAUUGUUGUCUUAGAUUUGUCUAAAUACGGAUGUAUCUAGUUACGUUUUAGUGUGAGAUACAUCUGUAUCUAGACAAACGUAAGACAAGAAUUUUGGGACGUCGGGAGUAAUAA